GACGAACGCUGGCGGCGUGCUUAACACAUGCAAGUCGAACGGAGUGGCGAACGGGUGAGUAACACGUGGGUGAUCUGCCUUGCACUUCGGGAUAAGCUUGGGAAACUGGGUCUAAUACCGGAUAGUGCAAGAUGAGCUCGCGGCCUAUCGGCAUGUUGGUGGGGUAAUGGCCUGCCAAGGCGUCGACGUGUAGCCGGCCUGAGAGGGUGUACGGCCACAUUGGGACUGAGAUACCGCCCAGACUCCUACUGGCGGCAGGAGUGGGGAAUAUUGCACAGUGGGCGGAUGCGUGAUGCUGCGACGCCGCGUGGGGGAUGAAGACCUUCGUGUUGUAAACUCCUUUCGACAGGGACGCGGUACCUGUAUCAGAAGCACCGGCUAACUUCGUGCCAGCCGCCGCGGUAAUAC
rnacentral:rRNA from 1 species